UCUCCGUUGGUGAACCAGCGGAGGGAUCAUUACCGAGUUUACAACUCCCAAACCCCUGUGAACAUACCAUUUGUUGCCUCGGCGGUGCCUGCUUCGGCAGCCCGCCAGAGGACCCAAACCCUUGAUUUUAUACAAUAUCUCCUGAGUAAAUGAUUAAAUAAAUCAAAACUUUCAACAACGGAUCUCUUGGUUCUGACAUCGAUGAAGAACGCAGC
rnacentral:misc_RNA from 1 species